CCCUACUUUGGGCUGUGUAUCAUAACCUGUUCCAGUAGAUUUCUGAUUCACAAAUACAUACCAUGUGUUUCAUUUUUCUUUUCCUGCUGGCAGCUCUCUCAGGUGUCUGGUCACAAAUCCACUUAAUCCAGUCUGGAGCAGAAGUUAAAAAGCCAGGAGACUCUGCAAAACUCUCCUGCAAAGUGUCUGGCUACACGUACACUAGCCACGGUAUGCACUGGGCAAGGAAGGCUCCAGGAAAAGGACUGGAAUGGGUCUCUUCAAUUACUAACGGGGCUGGUGACACCACAUACUACACAGACUCGGUUAAAGGAAGAUUCACCAUCUCCAGAGACAACACCCAGAAUCUGCUGUUCUUGCAAAUGACUGGGCUGAAGCCUGAGGACACAGCUGUGUACUACUGUGCCAGAUGGGGUGGACACAGUGACGGAGAACGUACCCUUGUUCAUUCAAAAACUCCUUAG